CGCCCUUAGAGUUUGAUCAUGGCUCAGGACGAACGCUGGCGGCGUGCCUAAUACAUGCAAGUCGAACGCAGCUUGCUUUGGUAAGAUGAGUGGCGAACGGGUGAGUAACACGUGGGUAACCUGCCUAUCAGAGGGGGAUAACACUUGGAAACAGGUGCUAAUACCGCAUAGAUUUCUUUCGCAUGAAAAGAGAGGAAAGACGUACGUGUCACUGAUAGAUGGACCCGCGGUGCAUUAGCUAGUUGGUGAGGUAACGGCUCACCAAGGCCAUGAUGCAUAGCCGACCUGAGAGGGUGAUCGGCCACACUGGGACUGAGACACGGCCCAGACUCCUACGGGAGGCAGCAGUAGGGAAUCUUCGGCAAUGGACGAAAGUCUGACCGAGCAACGCCGCGUGAGUGAAGAAGGUUUUCGGACCGUAAAACUCUGUUGUUAGAGAAGAAUAGGUAGGGAUGACUUCUUGCCAUGACGGUAUCUACCAGAAAGCCACGGCUAACUACGUGCCAGCAGGCGCGGUAUACG
rnacentral:rRNA from 1 species